AUGACGUCGCUGCCGGACGAGCUAGUGGAGGAGGUCUUCCUCCGCCUUCCGCCGGACGAGCCCGCGGCGCUCGUGCGGGCCUCCCUCGUCAGCAAGCCCUGGUUCGGCCUCCUCACCGGACCCGCCUUCCGCGGCCGCUACCGCGAGUUCCACGGUGCUCCACCCAUGUUGGGCUUCCUCUACAACCGGCCCUACGGCUACUCCCGCAGGAAAGACCUCACCCCACUCUUCGUCUCAACCACAAAAUUCAGGGUGCGCAUUCCGCACUUUACCCAGCGCACGCACCAAAGUUUGGAUGCAUGGGACUGCCGCCAUGGCAUGGUUCUUCUUGGGGAUAACGGCUACUGUCCCCCGAUGCUCGCCGUUUGGGACCCCAUGACGGGCUGCGCUCGGGAGCUGUACGGGCCCGAAGAAUACCUCGACCCCGCCGAUAGCUACAAGAUCGCGGUGCUCUGCGCCGUGAGCGGCUGCGACCACCGCUCGUGUCACGCGGUCCGCCCCUUCAAGAUGGUCUAUGUCGGCGUGAAGACGCGUGAUGGUGAGUGUGUUGCACUCGCGUUCGUCUCGUCGCCGGACAUGGGUGACUGGACCAAGGCGUCUGAUCCUGAACGUGAGGAGUGGGAGGAGCCGUGCUCUGAUCUUGAUCUUGCAAAUGAUGCGUUCAUCCAUUCAAUGCCUGCUGUCCUCGUCGACGACGCCCUACACUUCCUGCUUGGGUACAAAUAUGAUGAUGGUCGUGCAGGAAUUCUCAAGUACAGCUUGAGCUCUGAUUCUUUAUCGUUUAUUGAUGCGCCGCUUGCCAUGUCUGUUGUUGCUCGUGCCAGUAUCCUCAUGGCGAUGAAGGAUGGCAGAUUGGGGUUUGCACAUGUGGACAGGUUAACCCUCCACGUAUGGUCCAGACAGGUAGAUUCCGAUGGAGGUGCAUCAUGGACUCAUGGUAGAAUCGUGGAUCUCAAGAGCCUUCUCCAUAUUAAAUAUCCCAAGAGUCGAGCUAGACUGAUUGGUUCUGUGGAGGGCGGUGAUAUCAUUUUUGUGACCGCGGAUCUUGGCGUCUACGAGAUUGAUCUCAACACACUAGAGUGGAAGGAGCGACGGAAGAGAGAAAAUCUCCACGCUCUUUAUCCCUACAUGAGUUUUUACAAUCCGCCAGUCUUGACUGGUGCGCUUUUGCUUUUUCAUGCUGUUCUUGGCCUGUAUCAAGUUUGCCACCCAAGAGAUUUCUUUGCACGUUGUGUUGCUUGUGAUGCUUGUGUUGCUAGCCCCCUCCUCGAGCUUGCCUUUGCACGUUGCACCAGUGGAGGUGGAGCCUGCCCAUCUCGUCGCUGCGGAGAUCGGCGUCUGGUGGUCAAGCCGCCCGGCCAUCUCCUUGAUCUUCACCUUGGGGGCGGUCCGGGCGGCGUUCUGCUGGCAAGUCGACUAUCUUUGACAAUGUUCAUGGUCAACAGUGUGACGAUCAAUCGAGCGAUUGCCCGCGCUGUUGGGGCGACCCAUGAGAGUGGGCCGUGUGAGAGUUGGCUGGACAACUGGCGCAUAAGCUUUUGA
rnacentral:rRNA from 1 species